rnacentral:rRNA from 1 species
UUAACUUGUAUUGCCAGAGCGCGAGCAAAUAAGCAAAAAGAUUAGAAGGGGAUCCGAAGGAUCCCCUUGCUUCAUAAUAAAAUUGUGUAGACUAAGUGGGAAAAAGAUAAAACAAGGGAUUUAAAAGAAUCCCGGGGCGCGGGAAGGGGGUGCCAAUGGCGUGGUUUUCCCCCCCCGCCCCGGGUCCCGAUUUAUAUGAAAAACCACUCUUUUUAUUAAGAUUACUGUCUACAACCGUACAAGUAAGAUAGUUUGGUUGGGGCGACCGCCUUCGAAAAAGUAUCGAAGGCGCACAUAAGAUUAGUCCGGAGGGGGGUCCGAAGGCCCUCCCGGGGGUAAUGCCCCAAAGAAAAGAUUAGUUUGACUGAGAGGGCUACAACCCGAACAGGCGCUAUUAAAAAGGGAUAAAAAGUCUUUUUGCGGGUCAUAGUGAUCCGUUGUUAUAUUGUGGGAUUGACAACGAUCAACGAAGAAAAGUUACCAUGGGGAUAACAGCGUA